rnacentral:misc_RNA from 1 species
CAAUAAUUAAUUAAAGAAACAAAAAGCUUCCUAGGUUAGCGUCGAAAAUUCGGCAUAAUUUCUCCUAUAUCUAAGACUUAACCUCUCUGCAAAAAAAUUUUCAUUUAUAUCUCAACAAUCCAAAAGCCUCAAACCCACAAUAGAACACAACACAACACAAUGCCCAUUUGGGGCCUACAAGCAUCCCAAGCUAUGUCCAAAACUUUAAUCUCUAGCUCGAUUUUGAACUUCUCUAAAGUCCAAUUAAAACCACAAUCUCAAAAGCUCUUACUAAAAUAUCAUGGCAUAAUUAAAAUCAAGUUAAUCAAUAAAACUUCAAUUCCAUAUUAAAUUUCUAAUGAAUAUUUUACAGUAUUCCCUCUUAAAAUUGGAUUAAAU